GAGGAGGAGGAGGACACACGCCAGGCGCAGCGCGGCGGCAACAACAGCAGCAGCGGCGGCAACAGCGGGGAGACACCGGCGGCGGCUCCUCGGAAGCGGCAGCCGCGCCAGCAGCGCCCGCCCGCCCCGCGCGUCCCCUCCCUCACUCCCUCCCCCGCCGCGGAGACAGGGGGCAGCGCCGGGAGGAGAACCGGGCUCAGCGUGUGUGUGCGCGCGGGAGGAGGAGGAGGAGAAGGAGGGGGGGACACACCGAGGACUGCGCCGGCCGAGGGCGCACGGAGCAGGGAAGCGGCGGCGGCGGCACCGAGAGGCGGCGGCGGGUCCUUGUGCCCGGAGAGGAGGGCGCAGCCCGCACGGGGGUUUCUACCGAGUUUCCUCUUUUUUUUUUUUCUUUUUUUUUUUCUUUUUUCUUGGUCCCUGGGACUCAGCGGCGGGUCUGCGUUUGUCUCCGGAUUUGAAUCCUCCUCCUUCUCCUCCUUCCUCGGGGAAGCUCCCCUCCCCGCCCCCUCCCCUCCCCCACCGCCUCCCUGCCCGCCCGGAUCCAGCCGGGCGCCCCGUGCCGCGGUCGCGUUGCUCGGCAGAGCUGCUGCGGGCGCUCGCCGUCUCUGCGCGGGCUUGGAAUAUGGUUGGGGAAAUGGAAACCAAGGAGAAGCCGAAGCCGAGCCCCGAUUACCUGAUGCAGCUGAUGAACGACAAGAAGCUGAUGAGCAGCCUCCCCAACUUCUGCGGGAUCUUCAACCACCUCGAGAGGCUGCUGGACGAAGAAAUUAGCAGAGUACGGAAAGACAUGUAUAACGACACAUUAAAUGGUAGUACGGAGAAGAGAAGUGCAGAAUUACCAGAUGCUGUGGGACCUAUUGUACAGUUACAAGAGAAACUAUAUGUGCCUGUAAAAGAAUAUCCAGAUUUUAACUUUGUUGGAAGAAUCCUUGGGCCCAGAGGACUAACAGCUAAACAACUUGAGGCAGAAACAGGAUGCAAGAUAAUGGUCCGAGGGAAGGGCUCAAUGAGGGACAAAAAGAAGGAAGAACAGAAUCGAGGCAAGCCCAACUGGGAACACCUGAAUGAAGAUUUACAUGUACUUAUCACUGUGGAGGAUGCGCAAAACAGAGCAGAAAUAAAGCUGAAGAGGGCUGUUGAGGAAGUAAAAAAGUUACUGAUACCUGCAGCAGAAGGAGAAGACAGCCUUAAAAAGAUGCAGCUGAUGGAGCUUGCAAUUCUGAAUGGCACCUACAGAGAUGCCAACAUCAAAUCACCAGCCCUUGCCUUUUCUCUUGCAGCAACAGCCCAGGCUCCAAGGAUUAUUACUGGGCCUGCGCCUGUUCUCCCACCAGCUGCCCUGCGUACUCCUACGCCAGCUGGCCCUACCAUAAUGCCUUUGAUCAGACAAAUACAAACCGCUGUCAUGCCAAACGGAACUCCUCAUCCCACCGCUGCAAUAGUUCCACCCGGACCCGAGGCCGGUUUAAUUUACACACCAUACGAGUACCCCUACACACUGGCACCAGCUACAUCAAUCCUUGAGUACCCUAUUGAACCUAGUGGUGUAUUAGGUAUGGCUUUCCCAACGAAAGGCUAAGAAUUCAAGAACGGUCUUAACUGAUCCUUCAUCAGAUCUGAAUUUUAACAAAUGCUUAGUUUUCAGCAGCCUUGAAAAAAGCUUGGCCUAGCAGUCAGUGACUUACUUGCACUUUUUUGCACAUAGAUUUAAAAUAAAAUAGUGCUAUUAAUUUGGAUUAGGUCCUAUUAUUACAGAGUAGCUGUAAUUUAUGAGUGUAUAGUAGUAUACUGACUGCUAAGUGUUCUAUAUAGUGUUUGCUUUACUAAUCACCUAAUUCAUUGCAGUUCAUACUUAUUGACUUAAAGUUUAAAAUCACAAUCUGUAGGCUUGAAGAAUUGCUUUAAAACUUUUUUUUGUGGUAGAACUGGAAGUGAUCUUAAGGUUAGCAAAUAAUUGUCAGUAUUAAAGAUGGCAUUAUUUAAAAUAGUCCUGCUGCAAGAAAGGCACUUCAGUGAAUAUGUGACUAGUAAAGCUUAAAUGUGCUUGGGUCUAAUAGAUUUCAUGAAAUACUGUAAUUUUGGGAUUGUAAAUGAAUGGAUUAAACAGGUUAAGGCCAGGAUGUUUAAAAUAAAUGCAAUAUUAAUCUGCACAGAUAAACUUCUUUUUAAGAUUAAGAUUUGAAACUACUGUGCCUUAACUUGUUGCUUUUCUUAAAAUGAACUUUUGUAGUUAAUGAUCAUUUAAAUCCAUUUUGAUAAACCUGCUGUUAAUGUUUUCUGUGAAUGUUUUCUAACUUUGUCUUGGUAAUUGCAAUUUAACUAGGUGCGGUGGCUACUAAAGUUCGAAGGCACGAUAUGCGUGUCCAUCCUUACCAAAGGAUUGUGACCGCAGACCGAGGUUAGUUUAGUUCUGCAGUUCUUGUUUGUAAGAAGUGCUUUGAGUGUACAUGAGAUUUGCAACACCACAGCUGGUUAACCAAAUACCCGGUCUUGACCCAUUCAUGAUUUUUCUCAAAAACCUGGAAAGUUAAUAUUUUAAAGCUUUGGGAAUGCUUGCAGUUUUUAAAAAAAUUUCUAAACUUGGCCUUCCCAGCUCAAUUAAAUAGAUAUAAUUUGAUAUAUUUAACAGAAAUUCUAUAACUGAUUGAGUUUUAAAAAUGAAACAUCUAUCUGCAUCAGGAAACGCUAUGAAAUCAGUGCUGCAAUAAUUAAUUUGGUUGUGUUCCCCUCUUCCCCCCCUGCCCCCAAUUCAUUCUUUUAAUUGGCGUGGAAAUAUCAGAUUGGUGUUGCAAAACAAAAUGAAUGGAUGGUUGCUUAAUGAGAAAGAAGUAAAGGAAUAAAUGCCUCCUGUCUGUGUUUGGAGAAAUCUGAAGAUUUAGAUUCCUUUUUUUUUCCAAUAAACUUUUGAGCCACUGUACUGUAUAUUAUGAGGAGGAUGCAUGUUCUCAGAUACCUAACUGAAUUCAGAAAGCCGCCACCGGCAACUAACCUAUGACCUUCUGACCUCUGAACUCUUCACCCAAUGAUGACCUGACCAUGCCUGCCUGCUGAUCAGUUAACUGGUAAACGCCUUUGCUUGCCUGUCUUCAGUGCAGCGAGCUGGGGCACUUGUCCGUUCGUCUUACCAUCUAACAAAACAGACAAAGAAAUUGUUGUCCUCCAACUCCGCUUUUUGUUGUUCUCCUGUUUGGGUGAAAGUGGUUCUAGAACCUGCACUGAAUAGUAGUAAAGCAAUAAGGUCCAACUCAUCCCUCCGCACUGAUCAUCCUCUAGUGUCCCGCCCCAAGCGAACGGUAAGGAGGCCUCGCACGAGAUGGAGACAGAUGUCCCUUAACUACCCGAUGACAGAGGCAGUUACUGUGAGAGACUUCUAGGAAUAUUUUUCUUCUCAGAAAAAAAAAAAAAAAAAAAAAAAAAAGUCAAAGCUCUCUCUGAAUGUACUGUGUGAUGAUGCAUCAUGCAUGAACCUUUGGUCAGGGAUGUCAUUGGGGAAGGGAUUCCAAAAAGUAUUCAAAAUUUGAUAUGCUGUUUAGUCACUACCAGUGCCCUCAAAGGGCAGAUGUUGCAGCCUUUUUUCUAUUGCCUGCCAAAUUGGACAUUUUAAAGGAAAGUGUGCCAUGAAAUGCAGAUUACGAUGACUUUUCAGAACUACAUUAAUGCAGAGAACAAAACAGCAACACUAUUAAAGCGAAAUACAAGUUUAAAUUGUUUUAACCAUAUUUUAAUCUCCUUGGAAGAUUACAUGAGAACAAGGUACAUGCAUUAUGUGUCACAUUACUGGGCAAACUGUUCAAAUAUUUUUUUUAAACCUCCCUGUAUAGAAAAAAUUUCAUUAAGGAUGUAAAAGCCAUGCUUGCCUAUUUGCUGUAUACAUGUAAUGAAAUGUAGAUAAAGUGUAGUGCAUUGAAACAAAAUGAACAAAAAAGUAGAUACUUUUACUAUACAAGGGUGCUGGUGCAGAAAAAAAAUAUAUUUUUGGAAAUGUAGCAUUUUAUACUUUCAAGUGUUAUAAAAAAAGAAAAAAAGAACAAAGAAACCCUUUAUUUCAUUAAAUGAUUUUUUCUGGUGGUUGUCAAGAAACAAAAGACCAAAAGAGCCUUUUAGUCUUUCUUUUUUAUUUUUUAAGUAUUGGAAUAAGUCUAAAGAAAAGGAAGUGCCUUAUUUUCUUCAUGGUCAUUUAGUCAAAUGUCUUGUAUAAUCAGCUUCUCCCUCAGACAAGUUACUGCAUGCCACUCAGUCGCCCAGUAUGUGAAAGAAGCUGUGAGGGAAGACAAAUGAUGAGUUGACCAUAUUAAUUACCUGAUUUUUGCCAUACUAGUGUGAUGUGACUUUGCCAAAAUCUCAUUAAGUGAAGUAUUUGCUAAGUUUUCAUCAAACCAGCCCAUUAUUAUUUCAGCCACUCUACUUUUUAAAUCAUAGCAAAUGCCGUACUUGUGCAACGUAAACCAAAGGGUUCUGUGAUACAGACUGUCUCAUGCUAAAGGAGAUUAUUAGCUGCCAAACGUUUGUAGAGCUGGAAGUUACGUCAUUUUUGUUCAGGGAUAGAGAGGAGUUUUCUUGAUUCUGGUUGAAAUAAAUAUUACAUCAACUGUAGUAGGCUUUGGCAUCACCCAGAAAAUGGAUGUUCUGCAGAUAAUGAAACUGAAAGUGCUUAGCGAAUUUCAGUCAGUGACUGAGCACAUCCCCAGUUCCCAGGAACAGCUCCUGCAGUGGCAAACAGCAUGGAAGUUGCUUUACUUUUCAGCUCGUCUUUGACUAUUGUUAGAUCUGGCCCAUUGGCUUUUCUUGAAAAGAUAAGCAGGAGAGGGACUUUUUGAAGUCCAGCUAUACCUUAUUUUUAACCCUUGUUACCACAUGAGGUUCGGAUAACUGGGCAAUUGCAAGAGCCGAAGCUGUUGAACGCACAGUAUUUAAUUCUGAAAACAUUAAGUGUUACAUUGUGGGGCUCAGUACUAAACUUGGCAAAUAUCAGGUGAUAAUUUUACUCCCCUCUUGUCAACUUAUUCUCCUCCUGCAAAUCUUCACAGCUUCCAAAUGAAAGGUCAAUAGUAAGCUAAGAGGGCUUACAUUUUUAAGCACCUGCAUGGUGACCUCAUCUAACAUCUUGUCUCACCUGGAAAUAAUUAUCAGUUUAUUUACUAUGCAAUAGACAUUCAUCCUUUCAUAUUCAGCUAGAUUUUUGUUUAUUGUGCCACCAGCUUUGUCUUCCUGUUACACAUACAGUUGUGUUGAUUUUAUUUACAGUAUAUGCUGUGCCAUUUUGAUUUUAUUUUGGUUGGUUGGUUGAAUAAACUUGCGACACUCGAACAUUUGAAGAGAGAUUUGCUAAAACAAUACCAGUAUUUGAUCCAGUUUCAUCUCAACUAUGAUAAAACCUGGACAUUUUAGACAUUUAUCAAAGGUCUUUUUUGGGGGGGGAGGGGAAGUGUAUGGAAUAGAUGUGUGACAUGUGAAAGUAAUGUUUGCUCUGAACAAACUUCUGAAAACUUAGUUGACAAAAUUUUGGAUCAGCUUAAAAAAAAAGCAUGACUUUUGAAAUCUCUGAAUGCCUUGGUUCUCAGUAUUAUCAUUCUUUAAUGACUUUUUCUUUAUUAAAAUAAGUAGUUUUAAGACUUCUUUCUGACAGUAUUAUGUAAUUUUUUUAGAGUGGGUAGAUGGGAGUGUCGCUUGUAUGUAACCGUACAGAUGACAUGUAUUUGUCUAUUCUUUAUUAUCUUAGUAGUUUCAUGCUAUGUAUGUACCAUAACCAACCUAUUGCCUAUGAGAAACAUGUAAGAUAAUGUAUUUACAGCCAUUGUUACAAGUUUAUAAUGUAUUUUUCUAUCUUGUUUUAUAUGUAUGUUAUAUAACAUUCAAAAGAAUUUUUUUCCUGAUUGAGAAAAAAGGAUACAAAAUGCAAAACCCACAAUUUUGAUAACUGAAAAAUUGCCAAUUGUUUUGCAGUACUUUAUUAUAUUGGGAGUGUUGUCUUUCUUGGGCUUUUAGUUAGCUACUGGAUGAAUACAUUAGACAUAUUUGGGUUUUAGUUGGGUUUUUACAUAGCUUGCAUUUUAAUUCUUUGGUUCUUUGCUGUUUCUAUUAACCCAUAGCAUUAUUUUAAUAAAUGUUAUAAUACCAACCUACUAACUCUGGAUUAUGUCUGUUUAUUAACCAUUACAUGUUUAAUUAAAAUAAACAAAUAAAGACGGAAGAAUGUAAAGUCGAGUUACUGGACUAACCCUGAAGAACGUGACCACAGAUAACACAACGUGACUUGUUUUUAUGUUGUUUGUCAGCUGACAUUCUGCACACUACUAUUAAGUUGGCUUUGGUCAUUCUGACCUUUUACCUUGGGGAAUAGGUGCCAGUAGAAAUGGGAACAAAGUAGCAUUUUUGAGGCAUUCUUCUUGUAGAGUCUUGCCACUUGCCUUUCAGCAUCUGCAUUACUAAUUCCACACUUUCUUUUUCUUUCUCUAAAAUAAUUAUUGUUGGCUCACAGCAAAAGAGCAAAAGAUGCCAAUGUAUUGGUAAAUCGUGAUGGUGUACAGAAACCAGUUUGAUUCUUUGUUGAACCAUUCGGAGGUUGCAGUUAAUCGCACAGUAAUUUGUGAUGUGUUGGUUUUGGCACCUGAUUCACUGUUGCCUCACGUGAUGUUUCUAAGCACAAAAUAUUUCUGGAUAGAAUUGCUGUACAUUGAAACACAAAACCUGGGGGUUUCCUUUGGCAAAAGUGCCUUAUUUAUACCACGCUGUUUCAAGUAACUUUAUUUUUGGUACUUCUGCUCAAGUCUGUCAGUAUUGCCUAGCUCAGGGGAGUACAACUUCUGUAAGCCAAAGGUCAGACUGGAUCUUUUCCUAGUGACUGCAGAAAGUACAAAAAUACACCUUUCCCUAAAUUACCGAGCAACAUCCAUUUCAAAUUCCAGAGCUGCCUUUAUGUGAUCUUUAUCCCUGUGGAUGACUGGAGCAACAUGAAUGCAGGGAAUUGAAAUGGUGAAAAUGCUGUUUUGAAUGUUCAUCUAUGCAAAUAUUUUUACAGAUAUGCUUCCCCUUUCUUAGAGCUACACUGUCUGAGGCUCCUUUACAUUUCCCAGGUAGUUGUAGAUUUGUAACCUUGAGUGGGCAGUAAUUACUGUUAAUGUUGAGGGAUCUCCUCAACAGUUACCAACAAAAGUUGGUAACUUUUCACAUGUCAACAGUUUUCUUUCUGAAAGUCCAUUUUUUUCCUGUAGAUAGUAAAAAUUCAGAUGAGGAAUCUGAAUCUGUUCAAAUUCCUCCUUUAAUUUAUGACUUUUCAAACUAUUUAUCUUGAAAUACAUGCAACAUAAAACUAUAAAUAGAGUUCUCACAGUAUUGCUAGUAAUUAAAAUUUUAUGCAUUUUUAUGGAGAAAAAUAGCCUAGCUUUGAUGACAUUUGUUAGUUUUCUAAUGGCAUGUAGUUCUUUGUUUUACAAAAGUUUUAGGUAGAGAUGAAAUACUAAUUCAUUUUGAAUAGUUUCACUUGUGCAGAAUUUUCUCUUUUAAUUUAACAGAUCAUGUUGCUAUCCUAAAACUCAGCCACAGGCAGAUAAUAGGAAUAUUAGAUAUUUAUAACAGAUAAUAUCAGGACCUUUUGACUGGAUAAUGGAACAAGUGUCAUUACAGAGCAAAUAAUUUAUAUUCUUAAAGAAUUUUAUCAGAGGCACACAUGUAGUUUGGUGAAGUACUCUGUCCAGUAUAGGUGAAACUAUUCAGAUGAAACAAAACUUUAAUGUUUUUUAUUGAAGAAUACUUCUAUUUCCAGAACUACUGCUUUUCUGUAAUAUUUUUAUUAUUUUGUGUUUUUAUCAAUAGAUGUUAACUGCUGUUAUACUUUGUCCACAGUGCGUUUUCAUCUCAUUUUUCAGUAUAUGCAGUAGUCAAAGUUGCUGUAAAUUUCAUAGUACUUUAGAGCUGAAGGGCAGAAAAAAAUAGGAAAACUUUAAAAUCAAAAUAAUAUCUUCAUUAUUGUUGCCCGCUAAAGGUAUUUCUCAAUUUACCUGAGUGCCUAUCUGAAAAUUUAACUGUUUUAUACUUUGCCUGCUUAUAGGAGAGGUACGAACUGUUUUCAUCACCAAAUUUGAGGAUAUUAUUCAAUAUUGCUGAAUCACUGAAAUUAGCUUCUUUUUCUUUCUUACCAUUCUGAGAUUAAAUUGUCUUAACGUUUGAAAGAUCAUACAUUCAAGACAAUUAGAUCAUUGGUCUUUCAUCCAAUAAAAUGGGAUUUAUCUUAGAGGAAAUAUUUUUUUGUAGGUGAAAAUAUAAACAAAAAUAUAAUCUAGACUUUCAAAGUAAAAUCUGAGCAAUGCUGUUCAUAUCUUAAAUGUUGUACCAAAGUACAACAAAUUUAGUUUCUUCAAGAGUAUUUUUGUGCAUAUUAUAAAGUGCCUUCAAGAACAUCUUUAAGAUAUUUUUAACGAGCAUAUGUUCAGUAUACUGACGAUACUGAUCUUUUAUUUGAAUAUAUCUUUUAAAAGUGUUUCCAAAAUCUACAUGUAGCAAAAGGUUUAUUGCCAGAUUGUACUACAUGAGGGGGACCACUAAAAGGUUUUCUGCCCUGAAAACGCAGGGAAACAUUGAAGUGUGUUACCAUCCAUUAAGAAAUUAACUUGGGGGAAACAUAUGAAACUGAGUUCUUUGUGUAUGGAUAAAAAUACCAGUUAUCAGAAAUAGUACAUUGUACAGAGUAGAAUCUGAGUAACACAUUCCUAGGGCUGGAAGUACAUGGAAGUACAUAACUGUUCCUGGAAUUUCUGUUUUGUUCUAAUAUGUUUUAUAUCUUUUUCUCUAAAACACUGUUAAUGGAAUACUGUCCAAAUAACACAUGACCCAUAGCAUUAACACGUGGUAAUCAAUGUUGAAUCAAACUGGUUAAUGAAAGUAGAGCGCUCUUCCUUCUCUGUGCCUGCGCACUAAUUGCAGGUGGUGCAUAGGGGCUGGGGCUUAGGCACAGCAGGCUGCAGUCCUGAUUUCUUGGUGCCUGCAGUUCGGGGGUCCGUCUUUGACAACAGACUAACUGGGAGGAGUCUGCCUCCCAAGGCAAAGAUUAACCGAGAUCUGAAACUCUUAGUAGAAUUAAUUGAAAAUACAGCAACAAUAAAGAGAUAUAUAUAUACAUAUAUGCUUUGACUUGUAUUAUGGCAGUUUGUGUGAAACAUUUAAGGUUUUGUUUGUGCAAAAUAAUGUAUUCUGAGGGGAAAAGCAAACAUGGACGUUGCCAAAACACAUGUAAAUAAACACCAUUUAUGACUGUACAUUAUGUGCAAUAAAGUAACUGGAAAAAGUGCAUGUACUUUAUCCUCAAAAGAAAACUGACAGCUCUCAAAGCUGUAGCUAUAGUUUUAUUUUCUGAAAAGUUAAAUUUUAUUCUGUAUCUAAACUGCAGAAUAAAGAAUGUACAUUUUUCACACUUAAA